rnacentral:lncRNA from 1 species
UAAGUGGCCGGCCUCUUUGUAGAGAGAAAGAGAGAAAACGUUUCACCUCUUUGCCUCAAAGAAAACCCUAAUGAGAAAAUAGCUAUAAAGUUGCUUGUAUAACACUUUUCUUUGGUGAGUGGCAAACUUGCAAUUAAGCAAACUUUCACCAUCUCCUCACCAUGGCCGGCCUAUAUGUUGUGAUUGGGCUUAUUGCCCAUUUUGUUUUAGUUGUCAUACAACUUAAACAUAAUGGGCUUUAUGGACCAAAACACUUUUGGGCCCCGAAACCCAAA